AUGGAAGCAAGGGUAUUUCCUUAGGCUUCCUUGGGUGCUUGACUCCUGAAGGUUUUCACCUCAGGCCAAGUGCCUUAUGAACCCCAAAGGGCUGUUUUCUCCUAAGUAACGGCACAGCAAGGACUAUUGCUGUGCCCUACCCUUCAAUCUCCAUCUCUGCAGUCCUUGAUACACCACGGGACUAAAUGACCUGGGCAAGAAAAGGAACAAAGAGCAAAGCAGGCUCUAUAUAUGGUCACUGCUACAGACUCAUUGCUGGAGAAGACAUCACAAGAGAAACUACUUGGCAUUGAAACUGACCCUGAUUUAAUAACCAGAGCCAGAUUCACCACCAUCUACUAUACCUUAGAGAUAACUGCUGCUGCGCUGUCACAGGCAGAGAUAGUGAGAUCAUGCUGCUCUUCCUGAUGAACUCUCUUUGGCAGAGGUGUGGAUUGAGAAAAGUGUUAGAAGUUAUUUUGAAGUAUUAGUAACUUUUGUAUCUCCCUCCAUCAUACACAGAAAUGACUUAUUUUCUCCUACUUAGAAGAAAUGCAGAAGUUAUGGCCCAUAGCUCUUGGCAAAAAUGGGAAUGCCAGCAGUACUCUGAUGCGAAGAAGGGAAAUAUCAUCAUAAAAAGUUAGUUCAAAUGUUCCUCACAGAG